rnacentral:rRNA from 1 species
AAAAAGGUCGUAGUGACUGCGGAAGGAUCAUUAUCUAUUCCAUGAGGUGCGGUCGCGGCCCUCGGCGGGAGCAACAGCUACCGUCGGGCGGUAGAGGUAACACUUUCACGCGCCGCAUGUCUGAAUCCUUUUUUUACGAGCACCUUUCGUUCUCCUUCGGCGGGGCAACCUGCCGUUGGAACCUAUCAAAACCUUUUUUUGCAUCUAGCAUUACCUGUUCUGAUACAAACAAUCGUUACAACUUUCAACAAUGGAUCUCUUGGCUCUGGCAUCGAUGAAGAACGCAGCGAAAUGCGAUAAGUAGUGUGAAUUGCAGAAUUCAGUGAAUCAUCGAAUCUUUGAACGCACAUUGCGCCCCUUGGUAUUCCAUGGGGCAUGCCUGUUCGAGCGUCAUCUACACCCUCAAGCUCUGCUUGGUGUUGGGCGUCUGUCCCGCCUCUGCGCGCGGACUCGCCCCAAAUUCAUUGGCAGCGGUCCUUGCCUCCUCUCGCGCAGCACAUUGCGCUUCUCGAGGUGCGCGGCCCGCGUCCACGAAGCAACAUUACCGUCUUUGACCUCGGAUCAGGUAGGGAUACCCGCUGAACUUAAGCAUAUCAUAG